AGAGACAGCAGUAGCCGCGGGAAUACAGAGGAUGCGAGCGUUGCUCGGAAUGACUGGGCGUAAAGGGCGCGUAGGCGGAUGGCAUAGUCAGAUGUGAAAUUCCCGGGCUUAACCUGGGGGCUGCAUUUGAUACGUGGUGUCUAGAGUGAGGAAGAGGGUCGUGGAAUUCCCAGUGUAGAGGUGAAAUUCGUAGAUAUUGGGAAGAACACCGGUGGCGAAGGCGGCGACCUGGUCCUUUACUGACGCUGAGGCGCGAAAGCGUGGGGAGCAAACAGGAUUAGAGACCCGUGUAGUCCCUGUCUCUUAUAC
rnacentral:rRNA from 1 species